CACACACACACACAUGUACACCUACUCUCAUACACAUGUGGGUACACCAACAGAAAAUAUGUAUACACACAUACAUACAGAGAUCUUCCGGAGAUGAAGGGAUUCUCCCUCCAGACUGACUUUGGACUCCAGAGUAGAAUGAGUGACUGACUGAAUUUCCACCUGGCUGGUCAGUCCUCAGUAUUUUACACUCACUGACCUCUAUAUUUCUGUGGACCAGUUCCUUAAAAUGAAUCUCUCUUUGUGGAUCUACAUCAUUCGUAAUGGCAAGUGCCCAUGUGUUCUAUUGAUCGGCUUCCCGGGAGAAUGUUCACUAAUGUCCUAUCUGAUGCCUUCCCGGUAGAUGGUGAAAUUGGUGAUGAAGUGGAGAUGGUGAUGGUGUCCACACGAUGUGCGCACUGCCUGGUGGACGUGUCCGCGUAAUGAUCACACUGUACUGAAUGGAGAGCUUUGUUCCCUAUCCUACAAAUGAGGAAACUGUUGAGUUAUCAAUAUAGGGAAGCUUUUAGUAUGGGACAGAGAAUGGAAACAGGCUUCGAGCCCUAAGCUGGACCAAACUUUCUAGACUUCAUGUGGCCAUCCAUCUUCUUUGCAGCCUUACUAAGAGCUCAUCAUGGCAAAAAUUCCAUAGCUGGUCAUAGUUUUCAGAUAUGAUAUUUUCUCUGGGUAGGAACAAAAGUCCAUUGAUCUAGUAUUAUUUGGGCGCAUGUAAUAGAAUGCUUUGACAGAGGACAAGGACAGGGGUGAGAUCAGCCAUUUGGAUUGUUUACCUCUUUUCUAAGUCUGUCCACAAUGAUUCCAGUAUCUGUCACCUGGGAUCUCAAAAAACAGAAAAACAAAUAUACAGCGUCUGUGUGUGGGGUGGAGACCAAGGUCUGGCUCUUGCCAUUUGGUUUCGUUUGGGGCACAGGGUGGUGCAGAGUAUGGUUGAGACGGUAAGGAAUGACCCAAGACUGGCACCUUCUCUUUGCCUGCAUUGUGUCCUUGGGGAGUGCAAACUGAUGUUCCUGAGAGAUGAGAAAAGACAGGUGAGCUUGCGAGCGGGUGCCCGCCACCUGUCCCUGUGCAGUACUUGAACUAGGUGACAUUUGUCUCACCUGUCACAUUGCACAGGCACAGUUAUGUGAAACCUUGGGAGAAUCAGCUGUCUGUCUUUCUCUCGCAGGGAGAAACUCCAUGCUUUGUCUUGCAUGGAAACUCCAUCCAAGCUUCGGAAAUUGAAAGUACAGUCGGAGCACCUCCUUUACAGGCUCUUAUUUUUCAGAUCCUCUCUCCUUCGCAGGGUGGCAGAGUGGCUGGGGAUUAGAGUGAAGUCAUGGGUAGGUCACCUCUCCUAGGCUGUCCAAAGCCAGUGACAUGCAAGACAAAGCAAUUGCCCACUACCACUCUGAUGGAGUGCCAGGGAUUUCUGCAAUUACCUUAAUCCAUUCCUCCUGGCAUGAACUUUACAGGAAAGCCACUGCCUGUCACUGUCCCCCCGAACCCCUCUCUAAUCUCUGUCCGCACAGCACCCCUGCAGAUGCCAUGUUCCCUGCCUCCCUGAGCCCAGUGUCACCGUGAGGCCAGCUGUGGAGGGCAGAUUGCUAAAUCUGGCCUCCUAGAGGCAGGAAAUUCUACGAUGAAGUAGUGCUGGCUGCUCCAGCCACCCUGUGGGGCUGAGGCCUGGUGUUAGGCAGGCCCAGAAAGUUCUGGAAGGUUGCCGUAUGACUCAGGCAAUCUCUUGCAGAGAAGAUCCUCCCUCCACCACUGGCAGAGCCUGUUGUUGAGAGCUUGCCUUGUUUAGGAUUUAAAUUUGGGCAUGUGCCCAGGAAAAGCCCCUCUCUUCCAACAAAGAGUCGCCAGCUACCAAAGCUAACAUGGUGAAGAGAAGAUAUCUGGUCCUGCCUGUGGUCUGAACACCCAGGGGCCAAUCUGUUUGUAUUCAAAUAUUCGGUUGUUUCUCUUCUUUCCAUGUGGCCUGCACUUGCUUUUGGGAGGCUGCUCAUUUACAUACAAGAGCUGCUGGGAGACUUCAGUCAGUCUCUUGACUCCUGUGGGCCCUCCAGACCACAGCUCUUGGGCCUUAGUUUACUCCUUGUAUAUCAGUUAGUAAUUAACUUUUUUUGUUUCGUUUUGUUUUUCGAGACAAGAUUUCUCCAUGUAUCCCUGGCUGUCCUGGAAACUCACUCUGUAGACCAGGCUGGCCCUGAACUCAGAGAUUCAUCUUCCUCUGCCUCCUGAGUGUUGUGGUCAAAGGCGUGAGCUGCCAUCGCCUGGCUUAGAUGAGGUCUUCAGCUGGAUAAAAAGGGAAAGAGUGAGCUGAGCAGCAGCGAGCAUCUCUCUCUGAUUCAUAACUACUAUGCAGUGUGACCAGCCGCCUCAAGCCCCUGCUGUGUAUCCUCCUCAGCCAUAAUGGACUCUACCCUCCAACUGCUAGCUUCCGACACUGCAGAGACCUGCAACCUGGACUUGUGUGUGCCCUAAGUCCCGGCUACUUAGGCUGUGCACCUCCUUUUCAGCUGAGUCAGAGGCCUCGCCGAAGCUUUUUAAAGAGCUGCCCGGUGGAGACAAGCUUACUCUCAGAGGCACAGCCAAUCCCAUCAGCAGAAACACAGCUCGCCUGCCCCUGCCUCUUUCUCCCAAGAAUCUACAUUGUGCGCCAAGUCCAGUUCCUGGAGCAGAGAGAAGCAGAGGCAAGUUGUGGUGCCUCCUUUAAGUGUCUACUGGGUAACGGGACAAAAAUAGGCAAAGAACCAGCAAGAAAUCGUGGUGUGUUACCUGCUAAAGGGAUGUAUUAUUUAGUAGGUCCAGAAUUCAAGUGUGAGAGGGGACCAAGGAGAAACACUGAGGCCAUAGUACAGAGAGAGGUAGCCUUCCUGGGCCCCAUUGUACAGGUUCAUGCAAUCAGAUGUCUUCUUGAGGGUAACGUGAGGUCCCUGGGGGUGAGACAGGGAGGGAUCUCAGGCCUGCCCUCUACCUGCAGGGCCCAUAGCCAGUCAUCUUCUGUAGUUUCUUCCCUCCAGUACUGAUCAAUCUUUAUUGUCAACUUGGUUUGAUUUAAAGUCACCUAGCAGCUAUACCUCCGGGUAUAUCUGUGCCGAUGUUCCCAGAGAGGAUUAAUUGAGAAGAUUCAUGCUGAGUGUGGACUGUACAGUGUCAUAGGGUUGGAGUCUGAGACUGGACAAAAAGAAGAAAUUGCGACAAGAACCAGCAUCCAUCUCAUGGUUUCCUGACUCUGUACACUUCCCCAGCCUCCAGCCAGCUUUGUCCACAUCCUAUUCCCUGGUAAGAGGCCAUUCCUCAACGACACUGCAGGCCUGGCUACAGCUCCAUCUUCAGGAGACAAGACCCGCACAGGGCCAGAAGGCACAGAGUGUGGUGAUAUAUUGUGUACCCUAAUAAACUUGCCUGAGAAUCAGAGGACAGAGCCAGCCACUAGAUUAGACAUAGAGGUCAGGCAGUGGUGGCAUACACUUUUAAUCCCAGCACUUGAGAUCUCUUGACUUUGCUUGGGAAGCAUACAUGACUUUAAUCCCAGGAAGUAAUAUGGCAGGGCAGACAGAGAAAGGUAUAUAAGGCAUGAGGAAACAGGAACUCACUCUCUUGAAGCUCAGAGUUUCUUAGAGGUAAGAGCUAUUUGCUUGCUGUUCUGCUUCUUUGAUCUUUCAGCUUUCACCCUGAUAUCUGGCUCUGUUUUUCCAUUUUAUUCUAUUUUAUUUUUUUUAUUAAGAGACCAUCUAAGAUUCAAACAACAACAGAGAUCCUGCAUGUCUAGAAUGUCUAGAACCUGGUCUAGAAUUGUCUGGGGGGGAGGGUCAGGUGGGAGGAAGGUUUGUCAGUGGGCUUGGUUGGGAGCAGUCACUUGAUCUAUAACUUACAGCCCUAUGAGCAGAGGUCCAGCUCCAGGGAAGUGGAACUGGAUCCUCUUCAGUGCAGAAACCAGAAAAGAAACUGUGUGGGCUUUAUCAUGACCAGGGACCUGGCACAAAUGACUUACGGGGAGGAAAGACUUCCUUUAUCUCACAGAUUCAGAAGGUGUACCACAGAGGAGGACAGAUCCAAACGGAACAUCUCACACCAUGGUGACCAGAGAGAAAAACUGACUGCCUGGCCAGCUCUUUCACCCUCCCCCUUCUAUUCCAUACAGAACCCUAGCCUGUAGGAUGUUGUGCCCAUGUUCUUCCUUCUUUAGCUAAUCCAUCCAGGAAACACCCUCAGAGACACAUCCAGAUAUAUGCUUUUCCAGUCUCUUAGGCUCUUCUCAAUUCACUCAAGGUGACAAUCAAAAUGAACCAUCAGGGACCUCAAGGCCAGGAUACCCCCUAUCCCCUGAUUAGACUGGGUGGAAGAGAUGGGGUGGGGCCAGUUGCAAAGGCUGCUCACGGGCUGUCAGUGCUGGCCUGGACCUAGGUGAAGGGCAUGAAAUUGAAGGGUGGGAUUUUAAAACAACUAGGAAAUGGACACGUGUGGUCCUCUCAGUUGGUGCUGCAGUCUGCUCUGCCCUCUUCUCAGGCUCAGAGAGCCCUCAAGCAUGGAGGAGGACAGAAGAGGAAGAGCAGGGUUCUAUGUGAGGGUAGACGAGCCAGCUAAGGAAGACAGUGUGGAGGGGAAGUAGAGAGAAGGCACAAUGACAAGAGCAAACAGGAGAAGACCGAGGCCAUGAAGGAACUGUGAUGAACCAGCCUGUGCAUGUUCCACAGGGCGGUUGUGAAGGGAGGAGGGGCCAGCGGUAAAAGGAGCUCCGGCAUGUGGCAGUGAGGUACAAACAUGUUAGGGAGGGGAAGGGUAUUGCAGGAGAUGCUUUCUGAGAGAUGGGGGAUGGGGAGUGGAUCCAUAUACCUUCCCAACCAGGCAGCUCUGAGAUCACUACCUCUCUCCUUUGGGGACAGGUAAGAGAACAGAAAACAUUCAACCUCGAGAACGUGGAGAUUAAGAAAUACCAAUGACCAUACACGUGUACCAAGGAAAAUGGAAUACAUUAAUGUUCAGCACAACAACCACACAUCUAAAUAAAGACACCAAUAUUGCAACUUCAAUGUUAAAGGCCAAGCGUACUGGGAUUUUGUUGUUGUUUUUGAGAAAGAAUGUCACUCUGCAGCUUCAUCAAUCCUCCUGGCUUGGUUUCCUGAGUAUUGGAAUGAAAGAUGGGAGCACACCAUCUUCAAUGAACUCUGCAGCCAAGUUGUUAUCCGGGACUGCAUGAUCUUGGAGGACUCCAGGGUCAGUUACCUCUAGUUGGAACAUUGUCUCAAUGCUCUUUGCUCCAAACAGGGCCCCCUUCCAAGAAGAUAUUAUAUUCUGCCCAUCAUAGCUUGAUUUUUAUGGGCAUUUAAAAUCACACUAGCAAAACACACUGGCUUUGUGGGGAGGUGUGGAAGUGACUCCAGGACACUGGGCUGCCAACAUUCAUUUUCCUCAUGAGCUUGAAUGCCCUAAAAUACUGCCCUUGAGGCUCUUCCUAGACAAGUUGGCCCUGUCAGCCUUGCAAUACCUUGGAAUGAGAAGGUCUCUCCUGAGGAUUGCCAAGUAGUUUGGAAAGAGGCAGGCUCUUCGUUCUGAGGAUGCUGGCUAACCUUUUUCA